ACUUUGUAUUGCAAAUUGAAGGCCUUCGAGGCUUCAGAAAUCGGAACAGAGGACAUAUUUAUGAUCAGCAUAAUUUUUAGUCAUCUGGAAAGUUUAAUUGAAAUUUGAUUUUGCGCGAUUUGUAAGGCCGCGUUUGUCUCUCCAUAUUGUGUUAGACUUAUAUGUGUGUAUAUUUAAUGUAUAUAUGUAUAUGAGAGGCAUGAGUUGAACUCAUCCCUUGGAACCUAAAAAUAUCUAAAGGAGAGAGAGGGGAAACCGUGAAAAGGAGAGAGAGAGAAGAGAGACAAGCUCCUCAAUAUUCAUGGUGGUUUUAAAGAUGCUUGAAGGGCAUUGAAGAAAGAGAAAGAAGAUCACCCAUGGAAAACUUGGGGGAAAUUGAAGAAAGCUAAGAGAAAGACAAAGAUUGAACUAAGUGUGCUUGUAGGUCGAGACGAGGACACCGUCCCAUAACUACCAGGAGCCGAUCACUGUGAGCCAUCGGAGAUUGACACUAGAAUUGUAUUAAGGUCUACCUGUCUGCCAAGCCGCCUGGGGUACGCCUCCAUGUUGAGGCCUUAAUUUGUGUUGGGAGUCAUAUAAAUUAUUAAGUCUUAUGUAAGAGUGUGUGAGAUCUAUAUGAAUUCUGUGAUUAUAUAUAUAACUCUGGGAAUGUAUUUAAAUGCUUAAAUCCAAUUAAACCAUAAUGUAUG